AGAAUCAACGCUGGCGGCGUGCCUAACACAUGCAAGUCGAACGAGAAAGUGGAGCAAUCCAUGAGUAAAGUGGCGACCGGGUGAGUAACACGUGACUAACCUACCCUCGAGUGUGGAAUAACAUCGGGAAACCGAUGCUAAUACCGCAUAACAUCGGCGCUUUUAAGAGAUGCCGAUCAAAGGAGCAAUCCGCUUGAGGAGGGGGUCGCGGCUGAUUAGCUAGUUGGCGGGGUAACGGCCCACCAAGGCGAAGAUCGGUA
rnacentral:rRNA from 1 species